UUCUGUCACUUCUCUCUCUCUCCCGAGCUCCCAUUUCUUCUUCUUCCUUCACGCUUGUACGGACAAACCCAAAACCCUUCAAAUUGUCCCAGAUCGAGGAAACUAAGGACACCUUCGAACUCGUGAAGCUCGUACGAGUGCAACCAUACCAUUUUCAGCUUGUAGAUGUCUUAGUGAGGUCCCAAGGAGCCUCGGAGUGCUUCGUUGGACAAAUUUGGACGUCGGGAUAGCUUGGUUCAAAGUUGGCCGGAGCUUUCGAGGCUUUUUCCGGCGAAUCCAGGGCGAGUUAGAGGUCGAGGCAGAAAUUCCGGCAAAACACCCACCUCCGGCGAAACCAGUCCGGCGACGCGAGGAAGAAGACGCGCGCGUGGGCAGCGCGUAGACUGGGCGCGUGGAACCUCCAAAUUGAGUUCUGAAAAUUGUCACGCGUUCGUGACGUCGUGUAGAUCAUCGUGGUAUAUUCACAUACCCAAAUCGAGCAACGUAUGAGAAAGUUAUUGACGAAUGUUUGGUGUAUGUGCGUUAAAUAACGUUAAUUUGGUUACUUUUUGUAUAGGUGAAAAUUAUACAGAAGAAGAAU